rnacentral:tRNA from 1 species
GGAAUAUAGCUCAGUUGGUAGAGUACUUGCCUUGCAUGCACAAGGCCCUGGGUUCAAUCCCCAGCACCA